rnacentral:rRNA from 2 species
UGCAGAAUCCCGUGAACCAUCGAGUCUUUGAACGCAAGUUGCGCCCGAAGCCAUCAGGCCGAGGGCACGUCUGCCUGGGCGUCACGC